AAAAGGACAAAAAGAAGACAAACAAGUAAAAACUAAAAAAAAAAGCAAAAUCUUUGCAGGAGUUCUGACCACAUUCUAUGACCUUUGGAAUGUAAAUGACUUCAGUGGGCUCUGUGCCCUCUGAUUUUGACCCCCAGUAGAAGCAGGGCAUGGAGAACUACUACAUGAGCCAAUAUAUCCUGUUAGCAAGAUGGCCAAGGUCAACUGGAGUGGGGCUUACUCAGAAGCACGAUGGGCCUUGGUUAAAAAGUCCUGGAUGCAGUGUACAAGACCUGCAUAGCUUUUCUGAUCACAGUAUCACAGUGACUUUAUCACUGUCACCUCCUCAUUGUGAACCGGCCCAUCCCUUGGAGGCAGAGAGUCAUUGUGGAGGUGGCUAUGUACUCAUUUGAACUAAAAUUAUCCGGCUGCCAGCCUGCUUGAUAGCAAUUACAUCUAAAGAGAGAGAACCACUGAACUUCAUGUAUUGGAUGAGAUGGCUCCAGGAAACAACACCACAAAGUUAGCAGCGUGAAGUGGAUGAUGACGUGGUGUCAUUCCCAGAAAGUCUUCUGCUGUUGGUAUCUCGUGAUGCAUCUUGACAGUGUGAUGGCAUCCCACAGCUCUCUGUGCAUCUUCAGGCAAAUGUCACACACUGAAACUAAACAGGAUCUUUUUUUUCUUGUUCAUCCGACGUGCUGUUUUCUGUGCCCGAGAUACAAAUCUGUAUUUGAAAAUGCCUUAACCCUUUGGAAGGACAACCCUUCCUCUCUGUGCCCCAGGAGGGAGUUUUGCAGCAGAUGUGGGGGACGUCGUGUUGGCGUUGGCACCGAGGUCAUUCUGCAUGCUCAGUGCACUCCCAUUGCAAAAGAUGGAGAAGUAUAAUUGUUCUCAUUAUCAUUGUGAAAACUCCAAGGAAAUACAAUCCCAAGAUACUUUACCUUGACAAGCAACCAGGAACAAUAUCAACAUCAAGUCAUGGGAUUUGGAGAAAGAGCUGUGUUGCUGUUUAUGAAUCACUGUUGGAUGAGACUCUAAGAACUGAAGAGGAGUAAUCAGUAAUAAACCUCAAACCUUUGGAGGCUAUUGGCUGCCCAUCAGCACUGCAAAUUUUGGGUACUCUACUUUGUGUACCCAAACAGAAUGAUAUUGGGAGUACCUCUGAGGAUGGGCAUUCCCAUUUACCAUGAGCUACCAUGGGAGCAUUCCCCCACUGAGGUGGGUCUCUAGGCUGGCAUAUGCCUAAAGAAACAAGUCACCAUGAAGCAACACAAGCAGAGGCAAUAUGUGGUUUUUUUUACUCUGCAAACAAAAGCAUACCAUGCAGCCAGCAUCCUCAGGCACUGCUGUCCCCACAGAGCUCCUGGAUGGACAAGAGGAGUUCCCUGGAGUGGAGGAAGGUAGGAAUGGAAAGUUUUCCUGAAUGUGUCUACAUCCCUCUAUAGCCAUCCAUACCUGGAGCCAGAGCACUGAAGGGAGCUGUGCUGAAUCACCCAGCUGGAACCUCCUUUUCUUUAGGCAUUUCAAAACCUAAGUGGUUUUUCAAAUUUCAAAACCUUCCUAAAGGAGGCAUGUCUGGUCUCACACCGUGCUCCAGCAGCAGUGGCCAGAGAGCUCUGUUCUACAAGGCAAAGCAUGUGUGCUCACCACAUUGUCUUUCACGGUCUUCUUGUGGAAUCAGUGAGAAAUGUAUACUUUUGGUUCCAGAAGAGAACAUGAUCACAACAUUGGGAUUUCCCAUAGGACGGAAAUUCUGAUCCAUCCAUAUAAUCCCAUGAGGGACUCUUGUUCAUGACUAGGAAAUGUGGACUUGUUCCAAGUGCAGUACAGGCUCCAAAAGUCCCAAACCACCAGAAGCUCCCAGAGCCCCAAGAGCCCACAAUCAAAGUAAAAAGCAGAGGGCAACAGAUGGAUGGAGACAGAUGGAGAACCACAAAGAAACCAGGAGACACAACAGGUCAUCCUAAUAACAACCAUCUCAGUGGUUUCCUCUUCAGCUUGCACUCAGAUCUUGCAGACCUGUCUUCCUUAUGCUGUCUUUAACGCUUUCAUGUCUUGACACAACCAGAGAAACUCAUAUUUGACCAUCUUAAAAGGACCUUAUGUCUUGGUUGUACAACAGUCCUAGAUAGGAAUUUAAUUCACAUUUGCCUUCAUCCUGUGAGCUCAGAGGCUGAAAGAAUUAUUAUGAACAUUAUUUGGCCAACAGCAAGCGAAAAACCUUAUGACAGAAGAAAACAAAAGUCUGCUUUAAAAUUGUGAAAGUCUCUAUGGAGAGCAAAAGGGGGUGAAGAUGGCAAAAUAGCUGGCAGCAUAGGACACUCCAACAGCAGGAAAAUCUGAUCUUCCUUGUUAUGUGGCUUUAUUUUAGGGAACUCCGUCCUCUGAAAACCGGAAUCAGCCCUGGAGAUUUGUACAUUUUCUUUGAAUCAGUGCCUCCUCCAAAGAGCACAUGCAUGCCAGCAUUUGAAAGCAAUUAUGAGAGACAUUUUAAGAGGAAAUCGGGGACAUGUUGUGGAAAUGAAGGAAGAUAUUUCUCAUUCUUCUUUACUUCGUGGGUUAUAUUGCACAGACAGAUCUCACAUAGAAUGAAAUUCACUCCUGAGCAGAAAGUCAGCACAAGGCAAAUAGGUUUUGCUUAAGCCUGAGGGCUUAGAUGAGAGUUAAGUGGUGAACAGGUCCAGUGACGGCCUGCAGCACAAGUGUGCAUUUUAUUAAUCAAAGAUGUCUCAUUGUUCUGAGCCAGCACUAUCCCACUAAUACAUCCAACGCAACACUCAGACCUGUUUGAUGGGGUCUCAUUUUUGAAAGUCAGAAAUGUUAGAUGGGGAUAUUUCCGUUGUCUUCUAUUACAAAGAUAAGACUCAGAUUUUGAAUUUUCUUAAAUUUGAUUUCAGUAAAAACCGGAGUAGUGAGUUAUGCUUUUAACUAACUGCACUGUAUUAAAAGCUGCUUUAGUCCCUGCUCUUCAUAGAAGGUGUUCUUGCUUUCAAGCACAUUGUUAAUUGUCUUUCAGUUGAAAUAUGUUCUUUACAGAUAUAAGAGAAGGAUAAUAGAGUUUUUUUCUUCGCAUCAAAGGAUUAUUUAGAGAAGUUUCUUGCCUAAUUCACCACUCCUUAAGUAAGAAAUCUGGGGUUUCAAUUUUAUUUCUUUUUCCCUUGUUCUGAUUUUUUUUUUUUUUAACAGAGACAAAGGCCUGGAUAAAUGCCUACCAGAGCGUGGUUAAAUGUAAAAAUUGGUUUGUUUACAACUCAUACCUGUUGCAUUGAAGAUUUCUAGCUCAACCUACCUAAUAAGACUUCUUCCAGUUGGAUUUUCAGUGAGGAAUAAAUGUGACAGAAAUCAGCCAAUGUACCACACUCAGGAAUCAAGCCCAUUAACAGCGAUGAGUUAAGACGUCCUGCUGCUGAAGGGGGUUCUCUUGCAGUUAAAGAGACGCAUGCUCAGUUCCAGAUUUACCACAUCUUUCCAAGCAAAAAUGAGAGCCUUGAAACUAAAUGGAACCCCCAUCUGUGGAGGAGAUAGCUAUUGCAUUUUGCCCCACCUUUCCACAGCUUAUAUGAUCACAGAGAAGAGUGGCUUGGAAAUGACAGCAUUGUCUUGUGAUUCAGGGGAGGUGAAACCAAAUCUUCUCCAUGCCAUAUAUUUCCUUGUCAAAUCACCUGUUUCUCAGAGAGGGAGAAAAAUUUGGGUCUUUUUCUAAGUUGCUAGGCGGAUGAUCAAGUGAAUAUUUAAGACUCUGAAUGAAUGAUGUGUGCCGUAAAAUAACAAAGAUAGAAUAAAUAGAAUUUAUCUUGUCCUGUGGCUUCUGCAAUAGGAUUAACUGGAGCACUCACUGUAGUUAAUAUGUAAUUAAUGUGUGGAUGGACUGUUGUCAGCUGUGUACAUGUUUGAUGUCAGCAAUAUAUUAAAGUAUAAGAAAUUAAUAAUGAAGCCUUCUUGAUAAAUUUGUAUCUUGAUAAUGCAGAGCUCCCCCCCUCAUUUAGCCUCCAGGUAUCCCUUGUUAGAAGAGUUAAGCUAGCUUGACUGGGUCAACUUCUUUUCUCUUGGUCCCUUCCCAUCUUCAGAGGACUUUACAUCUGGUUUCUCUGGUGGUUCCUGUUAUUAUUUUUUGAGUGCAUGCUUGAGUAUUUGUAAAGCUCACAAGGAGGACCCUCUUGUCACGAGCAACUACUUUGAAGCAUCCCCCUGCUUCUCAGCACUUUGCUUGGCAUGUAGUUAAACAAAUUUACACUUGGUAACUGUUCCUUUCUUCUUCUUUUUUUUUUUUUUUUUCUACCUGGUCCUAUGAGUGAGCACUCAAGACAGAUUUCAUUUCCUU
ensembl:lncRNA